rnacentral:piRNA from 1 species
UACCAGUUCUGUCUGCGACUUCAAGGU